rnacentral:rRNA from 1 species
GCAUGAAGCCGGAAUCGCUAGUAAUCGCGGAUCAGAAUGCCGCGGUGAAUACGUUCCCGGGUCUUGUACACACCGCCCGUCACACCAUGGGAGCCGGGAAUGCCCGAAGUCAGUGGCCCAACCGAAAGGGGGGAGCUGCCGAAGGCAGGCCUGGUGACUGGGGUGAAGUCGUAACAAGGUAGC